rnacentral:rRNA from 1 species
UACGGAGGGUGCAAGCGUUAUCCGGAUUCACUGGGUUUAAAGGGUGCGUAGGUGGGCAGUUAAGUCAGUGGUGAAAUCUCCGUGCUUAACAUGGAAACUGCCAUUGAUACUAUGUUUCUUGAAUUUUCUGGAGGUCAGCGGAAUAUGUCAUGUAGCGGUGAAAUGCUUAGAUAUGACAUAGAACACCAAUUGCGAAGGCAGCUGGCUACAGGGAUAUUGACACUGAGGCACGAAAGCGUGGGGAUCAAACAGG